UAGGAUGGUGUUUAAACACAUUUGGGGCUUGGCCCAAGCUCACUAUAUAUUUAAGCUCAACUUAUGAGCCAGUUUAGCAUGAGCAAUUUCUUAUAUUUGUUUGUCAAUGGCUUUUUGGGUCUGCUGGGUUAUAGUUGACACUGAUGUGGCUUGAAUUUGGCUUGUGUUUUAAAUUUUAUAUUGUUUAGGAGUUGUUAUUGAGGCAC
rnacentral:lncRNA from 1 species